rnacentral:rRNA from 1 species
UACAGAGGUGCCGAGCGUUAGGCGGAAUCACUGGGCUUAAAGCGUGUGUAGGCGGACUUCUAAGUACCUUGUGAAAUCCCACGGCUCACCCGUGGAACUGCUGGGUAUACUGGUCGUCUUGAGCCACCUAGGGGCGAGCGGAACAAAUGGUGGAGCGGUGAAAUGCGUAGAUAUCAUUUGGAACGCCAACGGUGAAAACAGCUCGCUGGGGGUGUGCUGACGCUGAGACACGAAAGCCAGGGGAGCAAACGGG